AACCAUAGAAACCUGCGGAGUACCUGCGGAAGGAUCAUUACCGAGUUAUACAACUCCCAAACCCACUGUGAACCUUACCUCAGUUGCCUCGGCGGGAACGCCCCGGCCGCCUGCCCCCGCGCCGGCGCCGGACCCAGGCGCCCGCCGCAGGGACCCCAAACUCUCUUGCAUUACGCCCAGCGGGCGGAAUUUCUUCUCUGAGUUGCACAAGCAAAAACAAAUGAAUCAAAACUUUUAACA
rnacentral:misc_RNA from 1 species